rnacentral:rRNA from 1 species
CCUACGGGAGGCAGCAGUAGGGAAUCUUCCGCAAUGGGCGCAAGCCUGACCCAGCAACGCCGCGUGAAGGAAGAAGGCUUUCGGGUUGUAAACUUCUUUUAUGAGGGAAGAGCAGAAGACGGUACCUCUUGAAUAAGCCACGGCUCACUACGUGCCAGCACCCGCGGUAAUACGUAGGUGGCAAGCGUUGUCCGGCUUUGCUGGGUGUAAAGGGCGGGCAGCCGGGAAGACAAGUCAGAUGUGAAAUCCCGCGGCUCACACGUGGAACUGCAUUUGGCACUGUUUUUCUUGAGUACCGGAGAGGUCAUCGGAAUUCCAUGUGUAGCGGUGAAAUGCGUAGAUAUAAGGAAGAACACCAGUGGCGAAGGCGAAUGACUGGACUGCAACUGACGGUGAGGCGCGAAAGCGUGGGGAGCAAACAGGAUUAGAUACCCGAGUAGUC